rnacentral:rRNA from 1 species
GACGAACGCUGGCGGCGUGCUUAACACAUGCAAGUCGAACGGAAAGGCCCUGCUUUUGUGGGGUGCUCGAGUGGCGAACGGGUGAGUAACACGUGAGUAACCUGCCCUUGACUUUGGGAUAACUUCAAGAAACUGGGGCUAAUACCGGAUAGGAGCUCCUGCUGCAUGGUGGGGGUUGGAAAGUUUCGGCGGUUGGGGAUGGACUCGCGGCUUAUCAGCUUGUUGGUGGGGUAGUGGCUUACCAAGGCUUUGACGGGUAGCCGGCCUGAGAGGGUGACCGGCCCCGGUGUCGCUCAGUGCCGCCCCGCGCUCUGCGGGGGGCAGUCGGCGGGUGGUGUCGCACGCGGGGCGGACGGCGGGCGCUGGCACGCCGGGUGCGGGCGGUCGGCCUUGUGCGGGUGCCCCGCGCUCGCCUGGGACGAGGCGGGAGUGACGGAAAUGGGUAAAUAAGCACCGGCCAACUGCGCGACAGCGGCCGCGGUAACAGGGGGCGGAGCCCGCGGCGGCCC